rnacentral:rRNA from 1 species
GGACCUGACUGCUAUCGGAUUGAUACUAAGCCAUGCGAGUCAUUGUAGCAAUACAAGGCAGACGGCUCAGUAACGCGUAGUCAACCUACCCUAUGGACGGGAAUAACCUCGGGAAACUGAGUAUAAUGCCCGAUAGAACAUUAUACCUGGAAUGGUUUAUGUUCCAAAUGAUUUAUCGCCGUAGGAUGGGACUGCGGCCUAUCAGUUUGUUGGUGAGGUAAUGGCCCACCAAGACUAUUACAGGUACGGGCUCUGAGAGGAGUGGCCCGGAGAUGGGUACUGAGACACGGACCCAGGCCCUAUGGGGCGCAGCAGGCGAGAAAACUUUGCAAUGUGCGAAAGCACGACAAGGUUAAUCCGAGUGGUUUCUGCUAAAGGAACCUUUUGUCAGUCCUAGAAACACUGAUGAAUAAGGGGUGGGCAAGUUCUGGUGUCAGCC